rnacentral:piRNA from 1 species
UAAGCUAAUCACUCUCAUGUUUAUGAGGCCG